rnacentral:lncRNA from 1 species
GGCGGGACCGUUAGAUCGAGGCGGAUGCGGCCCGGACCCCGUGGAUAUGGAGCAAUCGCCGCCGCUGGCGCCGGAGCCCACCCAAGGGCCAACCACCACAAGGAGCUGAAGGCGGCGGGAGCCCGAGUCGCCGCCGGCGUCGGUGCCGUCAAAGAAGAUGGCCAGGGAGACAGCAGCGUGGUCAGAGUGGUAGGAGCUGGCCAUCGGUGAGAGCUGCUCCAUGCCUGGCUGCUGGGUGCUAGAGCUUGUGGACCACUGGCUUGCCUCACUGUGGUUGGUGGUGGCGGUGACAGAGUGUGCAGCACGACCAG